UAAAAUAGCAAAAUAAAUUGUGUAUUCUCUUUUGGAGACAAUCUGCCGUGUCUGCCACUUCGUGUCGCAGCCUCGUGUGCUUUCCACGGCUGGUCGUUGAUAUUCGUAUAUCGGUUUAAUCAUCGUAUUUACUGUCUGUUUUACAUGCUGUGUAUUUGGAAACCUACUUUUUCAGUAUCACACACACACAUACAAGCGGGUGUUACGACAUAUAAAUUUCGGAAAUUUCCGAUUUGGUCAUAAAUUCGUAUACGGCAGCAUUGAUUAACUUGAUAUGUGAUAUUUUUGGGCUUUCGUCCUUAAAAUCAUAUGCAGACAUAAAUCCUUACAUAAAUACAUACUCUGUAUAACCCUACAAACACCCAGACAACUCUCGACAAGCGGGUGGCUACCUAAACAAGCCUGCAUUCACAGCUUUACUCCGUUAUGUUUGCGCAUAAUAAAUGACUUUCAACGCCAGGAAAGGUUUCAUAAAAUGUGUAUGGAUUUGUGGGUUCACGAACUAAACCGAACCCGAAAAACAACAUCAAAAACAAAUGCUUUAUUGUAGGCGAUGCACAAAUAUUAAGAAAUAUUACUAAAAACCGAUGAAAAAUAUUAGAAGCGCCCAUAAUGGCGUUUUCGUUUCACGCAUUGCCCAAGCAGUCUAAAAAAACCUGUAACAUAUAUUACAUCCCGAAAAAGGUAUUUUAAGUUUCCUGCGAGUUUUAUAGCAUCAGCAGGAAUUGUUAAAGACACCGUACGGAUAUAUAGAAGGUCAAUUAAAAAGUCUCCAACCUGACACAUAGAUGACGCUACUCGAAUUAAAUUCAUAAGAUUUGUAGUUAGCCCUAACUUUCAAAAGACGUGUGUAUAAAUUGGCAGCUGUCGCAUUAUUAGUUUGGUAAUUAUAUCAUUUUGAGUGAAGCAACUUUUGUUGCUGUAAAAAAAAUGGAUAAAUUUCGGGUGUUGUUAAAAUAUUCCUUUGUGAAGGGCAAAAAAUAGAGUUGAAGCACAAAACUUGACUUGAUGACGAGUUUCCCGAUACCGUCCCUGGAAAAUCAACAUUCCAGGAUUGCUAUGGUCAUGUUAUUUUUCUUCAGUAUUGUUUGACUGCCUGAACAACGGUUACAAAUCGUUCAACUUUAUUAGAAAAUUUACCUUCUGUAAAGAAUGAAUAGUACUGAGCGUACUAUUCGCAACAGCAUCACCCAUCUUGUGAUCCAGCAUUCAUUAGAGAAUACUAUUCGACCGAAUAGAUCACGUCCAGCACGCAGUGAACAAAAUAUAGCAGACGUAGUUUGAGAGUGUACACGAAGACGGUGCAGAGUGGAUUCGGCGCAGCUCGCAGCAUUUCAGAAUGACUUAUGGAACGACUUGGUGCAUUUUACAUGCAUUGCGAUCUUAAAUUGGAAGCGUAUAAAAUAUAGCUUGUGCAAGAACGGCAGCCGCUCGACAUUCCCAGGCGAAGCAAGUAAAAUUGCCGCAUUUGGGGCGAAGACAAACCUGAAGAGUUGCCAUUUGUUGGUCGGUGGUAUCAUCGGUCCACACUUCUUCAAAAAUGAUGCCGGUAAGACCGUAACCUUCAAUGGCGACCGUUUUAGCGCCAUGAUAACCGACUAUUUGAUGCCUGAAAUUGAAGGUUGUGAUCUUGGCGACAUUUGGUUUUAACAAAACGGCGCCACUUUCCACACAUCUCAUCAAUCAAUGGAUUUAUUGAGAGAACAAUACAAUUAGGACCUUGUAAACUAGUGUUCAAAUUUGAGGUAAAACAAAAACUGUAAAACCAUUAAUGCAAGAAAGCACUCUUAUAUUACAGUUAUAUAAAUUGUGGCCGUUAAAAUUGAUUGAUUGCGAACCGAGGCACAUUUGUUUGGAAAUAUGCUGUACGAAAAAUUGCCACAAAUUGCCGAAAAUCACACAUGCGAACACACAUAUGUAUGUACAUGUAUUAGUAUACAUAUAUUGAUAAAUUUGUAUGCAAAAAGUGAGUAUCAAGAAUGUAACAGCUAUUUGCACCUAAAAUCGACACAAAAGUAUACGCAUUAAAUGUAUGUAUAUGACAGAGAGUGUCUAUAUGUAUGUAUGUAUGUAUGUGAGUGUGUACGCAUAGCGAAAUUGCUGCAUUUUAUAGAGGUUUGGAGGCGAACAAGCAAAAAAAUCAAUAUUAACCUAAAAUUACAAGCACUGCGGUCGAGAUAAGACACACAUACACACAAGUUAUAUAUAAGUUAUAUAUUUAUAUAAAGCACACAACUACAUAGGUACAUAUACAUAUAUGUAUUGACAGCUAAGAUACGAACACUAUUAUUUUGGUAAUUUACUUGUGGCAUAGAAACGGCGCAAUCAAGAAAACUAAAUUGGAAGAAAAAUAUUUUUCUAUGUACAUAUUUAUGUAACUACAUACACGUGUGUAUGUUUGUGUGAAGCAAAAACUGGAAAAAAUCUGAAAUUGGGAGCGUAAAUGAACGACUGAGAAAAAAGGGAGCGGUUUAUGCCAUAAAUACUAUAUGAAAAUAUAUAAUAGGCAUAUGUAUGUAUAUAUGUAAGACUGUAUAUAUCGUCACCUAAAACAACAUCACUUUUAUUAAGUUUACAGACGUAGAAAACACAAAAUAAUAGAAGCCACUAAUUUUGAAAAGAAUUAAGUUUUGGUUAUAAAAUGGUUACAUAUUGGUUAUAGCUGUCAACGGAAGCCGAAAAUUUUAUGUUAGAUACAUACUUAUGUACAUACAAACAUAUAGCUAAUAUAUUACAGUGAAUCGUAAGCAAUAAGAAACUCAGUUUUUUUUUGAUAAUACGUUGUUUUGCAUUUUAACUAACAUUUAGAGGUUAUAUAUGUACAUACAUAUGUAUGUACUAAUGUAAGUACUUAUAUAAAACAUAAAUAUAUGCUUGCUGCUAACUAGAGUUAUCAAAUUUCAAAAUUAGAUAACUGUGUAUUUUUGUAUAUAUGUACUUGUGUAUGUAUGUAUGUUUGACUCUAUUUGUAAAUCUGAUAUAUGUACAUAUACAUACAUACAUAUAAUUUAAAGCCAGCUUCGCGCGUUAUAUAAAAAUGUGUGUACUUUUACAAAAAAUAUUCAAUAAUUGAGAGAAAAUUUUUUAGCUGCCAACAACAACAACAUUAACGUCAAAAGCUCAAUCAGCGAACGAAAUGAAAAUGAAGAUUGAAAUAAAGAAUUUAUUUAGCAACAAGCACACUGGUAUACUUACUUAUUGCAUAUGCAUAGAUAAAUAAAUAUAUACAGCUGUACUUAUAAAUAUGUACAAGUACAUACACAUAUACAAUAA